AGUCUAAUUGUAUUGUCUAUAAUUAACAGGGUGGCCCUCUACAGCUAGGAGGAAUUGAUUGUGGGGUAUUUAUGUUGAUGUCAAGUCCCACAACUACUCACCCAGAAAGUAACAUAUGCAGAUAACAUGAAAUUCACUCCACCUGAGUCAGAUGUCAUGGAGAUCAUCCAGACACCAGAAGUAGAUCACACAGGACUCAGCGGUGAUGAGAAACAUUCAGCUGACCUGUGAGUGGGUAAAGGAGACCACUUGCUGGGAAGAUGAGCUGCAAAAGAUCUAAAGGAUGAUGGCCUGUUGGCUAUAACAAUGUGGGACUUGUUUAUAAACACCAUGUUUUAUGAGGGUGAAAGGAAUGAAGAAGAAAUUUCGACUCCCUUACCUUUUAUAUUUUAGAGAAGAGCAGGAGAUAUAUGAGACA